AUUGAACGCUGGCGGCAUGCUUUACACAUGCAAGUCGAACGGUAACAGGGUGCUUGCACCGCUGACGAGUGGCGAACGGGUGAGUAAUGCGUCGGAACGUGCCGAGUAGUGGGGGAUAACGCAGCGAAAGUUGUGCUAAUACCGCCUACGUACUGAGGUAGAAAGUGGGGGACCUUCGGGCCUCACGCUAUUCGAGCGGCCGACGUCUGAUUAGCUAGUAGGUGAGGUAAAGGCUCACCUAGGCGACGAUCAGUAGCGGGUCUGAGAGGAUGAUCCGCCACACUGGGACUGAGACACGGCCCAGACUCCUACGGGAGGCAGCAGUGGGGAAUUUUGGACAAUGAGCGAAAGCCUGAUCCAGCCAUGCCGCGUGUCUGAAGAAGGCCUUCGGGUUGUAAAGCACUUUAAGCGAGGAGGAGGCUCUUUUGGUUAAUACCCAAGAUGAGUGGACGUUACUCGCAGAAUAAGCACCGGCUAACUCUGUGCCAGCCGCCGCGGUAA
rnacentral:rRNA from 1 species